ACAUCGGUGGCACAGUGGGUUGCACUGCCACCUCACAGCAAGAAGGUCGUGGGUUCAAAUCCCACCUGAGGCC